AUGGCCGCCGCCUCGCCCGAGUUCUUCAAGCCGGCGGACGCCUUCUCCCCGCGCCUGCACCUCCUCGCCGCCGGCGCCGGCGCAGAAGCCUCCGACGGCGACGACGGCUACUACCUUUGCUGCCGGACGCCCGCGGGCGCCGGGACCGGCUGCCUGGGCCAGGCGGCCACCUGCCCGCCGGCGCCGCGGAAGCCGCGCGCGCAGCCCGACGCCGCCUGCCGGAAGCGCCUCUUCGGCGUGGAGGUCAUCAGCCUCCGCUUCGACGACCUCGACGCCAUCUUCCGCCCCUCGCCGCCGCCGCCCUGCGACGACCACCAGAACAACAAGCAGCAGCGGCAGCGGAGCCGCCGCGCGCUCGGCAGGCUCGCCGCCGGCCGGAGCAGCCGCGCCGGCUUGAAUUAA
rnacentral:rRNA from 1 species